rfam:Physcomitrella patens subsp. patens PHYPAscaffold_84 genomic scaffold, whole genome shotgun sequence.
UAAGAGGCUUUCAUAAAAGCCAUAUUUAGAUACUUUGAGUUAUUAU